GGACCCGCACAAGCGGUGGAGCAUGUGGUUUAAUUCGAUGCAACGCGAAGAACCUUACCUGGUCUUGACAUCCUGCGAACUUUCUAGAAAUAGAUUGGUGCCUUCGGGAACGCAGUGACAGGUGCUGCAUGGCUGUCGUCAGCUCGUGUCGUGAGAUGUUGGGUUAAGUCCCGUAACGAGCGCAACCCCUAUCCUUAUUUGCCAGCACAUCAUGGUGGGAACUAUAAGGAGACUGCCGGUGAUAAACCGGAGGAAGGCGGGGACGACGUCAAGUCAUCAUGGCCCUUACGACCAGGGCUACACACGUGCUACAAUGGGAAGGACAAAGAGCAGCAAGUUCGCGAGGACAAGCA
rnacentral:rRNA from 1 species